AAGGGCUCGCACCCAGCCCAUGCUGACUCCAGUUGUCCUUGACUGCAUGGUUUCUGCUGGUCCAAGCAAACUUCUCCUGCCACGCCUAACCUUGGAGAGCAGUGAUCAAUGGAGGAAGUGUUUCAUGGUGGACAUGGGAAACUGGCCAGAUCAACUGCUGUCACCUUCUAAAGAGAGGGUUUUGCCAUGUUGCCAGGCUGGUCUCGAACUCCUGGACUCAAGUGAUCUGCCUGCCUCAGCCUCCCAAAGUGCUGGAAUUAUAGGACCCAGACGGGGAGGAGGAAUGCCAGAGAAGCUGCAGACUCUCCGGCCACGGAGCCUGAGUGGAGCAGAGGUGGCCCACUGUCAGCCACAGGUCAAGUGUCAGGGUGGGGACGGGGCAGGCUCCACCAGAAGGCGGGGGCAGGCUCCACCAGAAGGCGGGGCCAGACCACAGGGCAAGGUGGAGAUGAGUCUGUGGCACCCCCAGGAAGUUUACCAGAUUUGCCCCAGAGCUUCUGACCCUUUGGAUCUCUCUGGGCUGCAUUCUUCAGGGUCCCAUUGCUUCUUUCUUGAAGGUGGAAGGAAAUGUUCCCAUCAGAGCCUUCCAACAGGCCACCUUGGGGGCUUCUCCUGAGAGCUCCUUGUGCACACACCCCUUCAGGGUGGCUUGGGUUGCGCCCUCAGACCCCAGUGGGGGGCCGUAUGGCAUCCUCCUUGGUCAGCAAGUGAGCCACAGCAGCAGGCCCCUCACAGACCUCAGCCUGGGGCCACAGGUCCCUUCUCCCCAUCUCCGCAUCUGGAGAAGCAACCUGUGGAGCAGCCAAGAGUGGCAGCCCUGGCUCUCUACAGCAUUCAUUUUCAGGGCAAGACAGAGCAUUUCCACUAUUAUGCUCCCCCCCCCGGCCUUUUUUUUUUUUUUUUGAGACAGGGUCUCACUCUGUUGCCCAGGCUGGAGUGCGGUGGCGCAAUCAUGGCUCACUGCAGCCUCGACCUUCUGGGGUCAAGUGAUCCUCCCAAUUCAGCCUCCAAAUUUCUUUAAACAAAAAAAAAUGCAAGAAAGGCAAAACAAGAUAUUUAUCUGGGCUGAGAGGGUAAAGAGAAGCUCUAUCUUUGAGCUGAGACACAAAAUGGAAAGAAGAGGCAGCAGCAGCGGCAGUAGCAGUUCUGCCUUUCCAAACCUUCCCUAUCUAAGUGCUUUCAAGAUAUGCUGAAAGUCAUGAAUUGAAGUGUGGUUCCCACGGCUUUAGUCCUUGUAUGAAGGUCCUUUUGCUAGAACUUACUUCCUUUCCAGCCCAUAUGGUUGACCUGGGGGUCCAGGCAGUUCUCAAGGGAACCACAGGAUUCCAUGUGAUCUGGGAUCCCAGUUGAUGAUCCCUCUUCUGGUCACAAGCUGAAUUGGACCCAAAUCUGCACCCUAAACUCCCCUCUUGCCAGAUCCUGCCCAGUCAGUGCCGUCCCCUCAGACUGGGUGGGCAGCCUGGGCUUCCUGCUGAGACGGGACCCCCCCCUCUCUUCUUGAUCUCACUCCCAGGAAAGACACUGAAGGAGCAGAGGUGUGGACGCCACAUACUGGACGGGGUUUCACCAUCUGCUGGGACGGGACACCCUCUCUUCUUGAUCUCACUCCCAGAAAAGACACUGAAGGAGCAGAGGUGUGGACGCCUCAUACUGCUAGAGACGGGGUUUCACCGUGUUAGCCAGGAUGGUCUCAAUCUCCUGAAGUCGUGAUCCACCCGCCUUGGCCUCCCAAAGUGCUGGGAUUACAGGCGUGAGCCACUGCACCCGGCUGAAAUUGUAUACUUUAAAGGGAUGAAUUUUAUGGUAUGUGAAUUAUGUCUCAUUAAAAAAAACAAACUGUUAAG
rnacentral:lncRNA from 1 species